rnacentral:miRNA from 1 species
UGGUAAUGGUAAGGGAGGUGACAGAAGAGAGUGAGCACAUAUGGUGUUUUUUUCUCGCAUGAGUGAUUCUUACAUGCUUGAAGCUAUGCGUGCUCACUCUCUCUCUGUCACCCCAUCUCUCUCUCUCUCUC